CUUGGUCAUUUAGAGGAAGUAAAAGUCGUAACAAGGUUUCCGUAGGUGAACCUGCGGAAGGAUCAUUACAGAAUGAAAGUGCUUAACUGCAUUUUUUUUACACAUGUGUUUUUCUUUUUUUUUGAAAACUUUGCUUUGGUGGGCCAUGGCCUGCCAGAGAUUAAACUCAACCAAAUUUUUAUUUAAGUCAACUGAUUAACUAAUAGUCAAAACUUUCAACAACGGAUCUCUUGGUUCUCGCAUCGAUGAAGAACGCAGCGAAAUGCGAUAAGUAAUAUGAAUUGCAGAUAUUCGUGAAUCAUCGAAUCUUUGAACGCACAUUGCGCCCUUUGGUAUUCCAAAGGGCAUGCCUGUUUGAGCGUCAUUUCUCCCUCAAACCUUCGGGUUUGGUGUUGAGCGAUACGCUGGGUUUGCUUGAAAGAAAGGCGGAGUAUAAACUAAUGGAUAGGUUUUUUUUCCACUCAUUGGUACAAACUCCAAAAUUCUUCCAAAUUCGACCUCAAAUCAGGUAGGACUACCCGCUGAACUUAAGCAUAUCAAUAAGCGGAGGACCU
rnacentral:rRNA from 1 species